rnacentral:rRNA from 1 species
GACGAACGCUGGCGGCGUGCUUAACACAUGCAAGUCGAACGAAGUGGCGAACGGGUGAGUAAUACGUGGGUAACCUGCCCUCCUUUUUGGGAUAAGCCUUGGAAACGGGGUCUAAUACCGAAUAAAGGGGGAUGGGCUCGAGGCCUAUCAGCUUGUUGGUGGGUUGAUGGCCUACCAAGGCGGCGAGGGGUAGCCGGCCUGAGAGGGUGACCGGGAACAUUGGGCGUGCGAUACGGCCCAGGCUCCUACGGGAGGCAGAAGUGGGGGAUAUUGCACAAUCGGCGAAAGCCUGAUGCAGCGACGCCGCGUGGGUGAUGAAGGCUUUCGGGUUGUAAACCUCUGUCGCUAUCGAACGGGUAGGUGCAGAAGAAGCGCCGGCUAACUACGUGCCAGCAGCCGCGGUAAUUC